GGCUUCGGCCUGAUGGCGAGUGGCGAACGGGUGAGUAAUGCAUCGGAACGUACCCAGUCGUGGGGGAUACCGUAGCGAAAGUUACGCUAAUACCGCAUACGACCUGAGGGAGAAAGCGGGGGACCGAAAGGCCUCGCGCGAUUGGAGCGGCCGAUGUCAGAUUAGCUANUUGGUGGGGUAAAUGCCCACCAAGGCGACGAUCUGUAGCGGGUCUGAGAGGAUGAUCCGGCACACUGGGACUGAGACACGGCCCAUACUCCUACGGGAGGGAGCAGUGGGGAAUUUUGGACAAUGGGGGCAACCCUGAUCCAGCCAUGCCGCGUGCGGGAAAAAGGCCUUCGGGUUGUAAACCGCUUUCGGACAGAAAGAAAUCGCACGGGAUAAUACCUUGUGUGGAUGACGGUACUGUAAGAAGAAGCACCGGCUAACUACGUGCCAGCAGCCGCGGUAAUCCGUGCCACCAGCCGCGGUAAUA
rnacentral:rRNA from 1 species